UACGGAGGGUGCGAGCGUUGUCCGGAAUCACUGGGCGUAAAGGGCGCGUAGGCGGUCUGCUAAGCGUGUGGUGAAAGCUCGGGGCUCAACCCCGAGUCUGCCAUGCGAACUGGUGGACUUGAGCACUGUAGAGGCAGGUGGAAUUCCGGGUGUAGCGGCGGAAUGCGUAGAGAUCCGGAAGAACACCGGUGGCGAAGGCGGUCUGCUGGGCAGUUGCUGACACUGAGGCGCGACAGCGUGGGGAGCAAACAGG
rnacentral:rRNA from 1 species